GGAUGUGAGGCGAUCUGGCUGCGACAUCUGUCACCCUAUUGAUCGCCAGGGUUGAUUCGGCUGAUCUGGCUGGCUAGGCGGGUGUCCCCUUCCUCCCUCACCGCUCCAUGUGCGUCCCUCCCGAAGCUGCGCGCUCGGUCGAAGAGGACGACCUUCCCCGAAUAGAGGAGGACCGGUCUUCGGUCAAGGGUAUACGAGUAGCUGCGCUCCCCUGCUAGAACCUCCAAACAAGCUCUCAAGGUCCAUUGUAGGAGAACGUAGGGUAGUCAAGCUUCCAAGACUCCAGACACAUCCAAAUGAGGCGCUGCAUGUGGCAGUCUGCCUUUCUUU
rnacentral:snRNA from 2 species